rnacentral:rRNA from 1 species
UACGUAGGGACCGAGCGUUGUCCGGAAUCAUUGGGCGUAAAGAGCGUGUAGGCGGCCACUUAAGUCCUGCGUGAAAUCUUGCGGCUCAACCGCAAGCGGUCGUGGGAAACUGGGUGGCUAGAGUGCGGGAGAGGAGAGUGGAAUUCCUGGUGUAGCGGUGGAAUGCGCAGAUAUCAGGAGGAACACCGAUUGCGAAGGCAGCUCGCUGGGACGUUACUGGACGCUGAGACGCGAAAGCGUGGGGAGCAAACAGG